rnacentral:rRNA from 1 species
GUGCCAGCAGCCGCGGUAAUACGUAGGGUGCAAGCGUUAAUCGGAAUUACUGGGCGUAAAGCGUGCGCAGGCGGCUCCGCAAGACAGAUGUGAAAUCCCCGGGCUUAACCUGGGAACUGCAUUUGUGACUGCGGGGCUGGAGUACGGCAGAGGGGGAUGGAAUUCCGCGUGUAGCAGUGAAAUGCGUAGAUAUGCGGAGGAACACCGAUGGCGAAGGCAAUCCCCUGGGCCUGUACUGACGCUCAUGCACGAAAGCGUGGGGAGCAAACAGGAUUAGAAACCCCUGUAGUCC